GCUUUCAAAUUCCACGCCGAGCUUCCUUUCCCACACCCCAAGCCCUUGUACUGGGGAUUACAAUGAUCGUUUGUGUGUACUAGGUAAUUGUUCCUUCCACAUCAGGGGCCUUGGGAGGAUGACCUAAGGCUGCUUUCUCCUGUUCUUACUUCCUCUACCCAGCACUGUAACUACACAUGGAAUCUGCUGGUUCUUACAAAGGAUGCUGACUGGUGCUGUGAUGUGGUCUUCAGGAAGCCAGGGGGAUCUCCAUAUGAGGGAGGCAACUGGGGCCUCACCAGGAGAAGGAGCUUGCCCAAGACUGCAGGCAGCUGUAUGCCUCAUUGUCAGACACUCAGAGGGAAAGUCCGAGUAAGAAUACAAUGUAAUCC